rnacentral:rRNA from 1 species
UACGGAGGGUGCGAACGUUAAUCGGAAUCACUGGGCGUAAAGCGCGCGUAGGCGGUUCGUUAAGUGGGAUGUGAAAUCCCCGGGCUUAACCUGGGAAUUGCAUUUCAAACUGGCCGACUAGAGUACGGUAGAGGGAGGUAGAAUUUCCUGUGUAGCGGUGAAAUGCGUAGAUAUCGGGAGGAACACCGAUGGCGAAGGCAGCCUCCUGGGCCAAUACUGACGCUCAUGCACGAAAGCGUGGGGAGCAAACAGG